CCUACGGGAGGCAGCAGUGAGGAAUAUUGGUCAAUGGACGCAAGUCUGAACCAGCCAUGCCGCGUGCAGGAAGACGGCCCUAUGAGUUGUAAACUGCUUUUGUACGAGGGUAAACGCAGAUACGUGUACCUGCCUGAAUGUAUCGUACGAACAAGGAUCGGCUAACUCCGUGCCAGCAGCCGCGGUAAUACGGAGGAUUCGAGCGUUAUCCGGAUUUAUUGGGGUUAAAGGGUGCGUAGGCGGGCCGGUAAGUUAGAGGUGAAAUCACGAGGGUCAACUUCGGAAUUGCCUUUGAUACUGGCAGGCUAGAGUGUAGUAGCGGUAGGCGGAAUGUAAGGUGUAGCGGUGAAAUGCUUAGAUAU
rnacentral:rRNA from 1 species